CAGCAGCCGCGGGAAAACCAGCAGCCCAAGUGGUGGUCGCGCUUAUUGGGCCUAAAGCGCUCGUAGCCUGGCCGGUAAGUUCCCCGUGAAAUCGGGUCGCCCAACGAUUCGGCUUGCGGGGAAUACUGUCGGUCUUGGGGCCGGGAGACGCCGAGGGUACUCCGGGGGUAGCGGUGAAAUGCUGUAAUCCUCGGGGGACUACCAGUGGCGAAGGCGCUCGGCGAUAACGGGCCUGACGGUGAGGGGCGAAAGCUGGGGGCGCGAACGGGAUUAGAUACCCCAGUAGUCCCUGUCUCUUAUA
rnacentral:rRNA from 1 species